UGCAAGUCGAACGAUGAUCCGGUGCUUGCACCGGGGAUUAGUGGCGAACGGGUGAGUAACACGUGAGUAACCUGCCCUUAACUCUGGGAUAAGCCUGGGAAACUGGGUCUAAUACCGGAUAUGACUCCUCAUCGCAUGGUGGGGGGUGGAAAGCUUUUUGUGGUUUUGGAUGGACUCGCGGCCUAUCAGCUUGUUGGUGAGGUAAUGGCUCACCAAGGCGACGACGGGUAGCCGGCCUGAGAGGGUGACCGGCCACACUGGGACUGAGACACGGCCCAGACUCCUACGGGAGGCAGCAGUGGGGAAUAUUGCACAAUGGGCGCAAGCCUGAUGCAGCGACGCCGCGUGAGGGAUGACGGCCUUCGGGUUGUAAACCUCUUUCAGUAGGGAAGAAGCGAAAGUGACGGUACCUGCAGAAGAAGCGCCGGCUAACUACGUGCCAGCAGCCGCGGUAAUACGUAGGGCGCAAGCGUUAUCCGGAAUUAUUGGGCGUAAAGAGCUCGUAGGCGGUUUGUCGCGUCUGCCGUGAAAGUCCGGGGCUCAACUCCGGAUCUGCGGUGGGUACGGGCAGACUAGAGUGAUGUAGGGGAGACUGGAAUUCCUGGUGUAGCGGUGAAAUGCGCAGAUAUCAGGAGGAACACCGAUGGCGAAGGCAGGUCUCUGGGCAUUAACUGACGCUGAGGAGCGAAAGCAUGGGGAGCGAACAGGAUUAGAUACCCUGGUAGUCCAUGCCGUAAACGUUGGGCACUAGGUGUGGGGGACAUUCCACGUUUUCCGCGCCGUAGCUAACGCAUUAAGUGCCCCGCCUGGGGAGUACGGCCGCAAGGCUAAAACUCAAAGGAAUUGACGGGGGCCC
rnacentral:rRNA from 1 species